AGAGUUUGAUCAUGGCUCAGAUUGAACGCUGGCGGCAUGCCUUACACAUGCAAGUCGAACGAAAAUGAGAGAUCUUGCUCUCCAAUCUAUAGCGGCACACGGGAGAAUUACACCUAAGCAACCCGCCUAUUGGGCUGUGACUACUCCAGGAAACCGGUACUACUACCUAAUAUCCCCUUAUACCGCAUGGGCUAACGAUAAAAUGAUGCUAUUCCACUUACCGAUGGACCUGCAGCUCAUUAGCUCGUUGGUGAGGUAACGGCUCACCAAUGCAACGAUGCGUAGACGACCUGACAGGGUGACCGGCCACACUGGGACUGACACACCGCCCACACUCCUACGGGAGGG
rnacentral:rRNA from 1 species